rnacentral:rRNA from 1 species
AGUGAACGCUGGCGGUAGGCCUAACACAUGCAAGUCGAACGGCAGCACAGUAAGAGCUUGCUCGUACGGGUGGCGAGUGGCGGACGGGUGAGGAAUACAUCGGAAUCUACUUUUUCGUGGGGGAUAACGUAGGGAAACUUACGCUAAUACCGCAUACGACCUACGGGUGAAAGCAGGGGAUCUUCGGACCUUGCGGGAUUGAAUGAGCCGAUGUCGGAUUAGCUAGUUGGCGGGGUAAAGGCCCACCAAGGCGACGAUCCGUAGCCGGUCUGAGAGAAUGGGCCGACACUCUGGGAGUGGGACGCAGUCCAGACUCCUGGGGGAGGCGGCCGUGAGGGAUAUUGGCCAACCGGGGCAAGGCAGAACCCCCCCGGCCGGGUGAGUGAUGAAGUUCUUAGGGUUGUGCAGCUGUUUUGUCCGGCAAGAUAAUGACGGUACCGGAAGAAUAAGCCCCGGCUAACUUCGUG